rnacentral:rRNA from 1 species
GGAAUCUUCCGCAAUGGACGAAAGUCUGACGGAGCAACGCCGCGUGAGUGAUGAAGGUUUUCGGAUCGUAAAGCUCUGUUGCCAGGGAAGAACGCUUGGGAGAGUAACUGCUCUCAAGGUGACGGUACCUGAGAAGAAAGCCCCGGCUAACUACUUGCCAGCAGCCGCGGUAAGACGUAGGGGGCAAGCGUUGUCCGGAAUUAUUGGGCGUAAAGCGCGCGCAGGCGGUCAUUUAAGUUUGGUGUUUAAUUCCAGGGCUCAACCCUGGGUCGCACUGAAAACUGGAUGACUUGAGUACAGAAGAGGAGAGUGGAAUUCCACGUGUAGCGGUGAAAUGCGUAGAUAUGUGGAGGAACACCAGUGGCGAAGGCGACUCUCUGGGCUGUAACUGACGCUGAGGCGCGAAAGCGUGGGGAGCAAAC